CGCUGGCGGCGUGCUUCAAACAUGCAAGUCGAACGAGUUAAUUUUGAAGCUUUGCUUUAGAAUUAACUUAGUGGCGGACUGGUGAGUAACGCGUGAGUAAUCUGCCUAUCACAGGGGGAUAACAGAGGGAAACUUCUGCUAAUACCGCAUAAGACCACAGGAUGGCAUCAUCAAGGGGUCAAAGGUUAGAUCUGGUGAUAGAUGAGCUUGCGUAUCAUUAGCUAGUUGGUGAGGGUAAAGGCCCACCAAGGCGACGAUGAUUAGCCGAUCUGAGAGGAUGACCGGCCACACUGGGACUGAGAUACGGCCCAGACUCCUACGGGAGCAGCAGUUAGGAAUAUUGGGCAAUGGAGGAAACUCUGACCCAGCAACGCCGCGUGAAGGAAGAAGGUUUUCGGACUGUAAACUUCUGAUCUAAGGGAAAAAGAAAGUGAUGGUACCUUAGGAGAAAGCCACGGCUAACUACGUGCCAGCAGCCGCGGUAA
rnacentral:rRNA from 1 species